rnacentral:rRNA from 1 species
UACGUAGGGGGCAAGCGUUGUCCGGAUUUAUUGGGCGUAAAGAGCGUGUAGGCGGCCAUGUAGGUCCGUUGUGAAAACUCGAGGCUCAACCUCGAGACGCCGAUGGAAACCAUAUGGCUAGAGUCCGGAAGAGGAGAGUGGAAUUCCUGGUGUAGCGGUGAAAUGCGCAGAUAUCAGGAAGAACACCCGUGGCUAAGGCGGCUCUCUAGUACGGUACUGACGCUGAGACGCGAAAGCGUGGGGAGCGAACAGG